rnacentral:misc_RNA from 1 species
AAAAAAAAAAAAGGUUGUUGAUGGUUGUAGCUUAAGAAAUGAACAAUUUGGAUUUGGGAUGCUGCUGUAUUUUGUCCCUAUAGAAAGAUCAAUGCUUAGAAGUUAAAGUUGUAUUCGGCUUGAAUUGUAUAGAGAGGUUAAUUCAGUUCCUGGUCUUGGAAUGCUGCAAGUCUUUGACAGUUGUAUUGGUAUUAUAAAACUUUUUCUUCCUUUU